UAGCAUGGUCAACUAGUAUUUCAUCUACUAGUCGCUCAUGCACUCAUCAGUAGGGGCAAAAGCAUUUACUCCAGAAGCAUCAAAGCUACUGGGGGCAUAAUGAUGACCAAUUCUCGGAAAUGGCUACACCAUAUCAUACACAUUAUCAGAGAAGAAUAAUAACUGCUUCGUUCGGCGGAGCGACUGAGCGCAAAUCGAACCUCAGAGUCCGAGAGAAAGCGAUCCAGAAGAGUAAUCAAGCCACGGAGGAGCUCUCCAGGGACUCAUGAUAGAAACUCUCGAGCUCAGUGAAUUACACGGGGUGACGGAUGGUUGAUGUGGGUGGAUUUUGCAUCAAGUGUGAGGAACAGAACGAAGCAGCAGCGCAACUGUUCGUGUUCGAACCCGAAGGUCAUGCAUGCUGGUGACAUACAUAUAUAGUAAGUAUUGGACGUAUGAUAAAUGUCAUCCAAUCAUUUGAGUAAAUUCUGUCAAAGUGUUCUUGGGGUGUAUAAUUUUCUUUUGUGUACUUGUGCGAUAUUAGUGUCGAUGAAAUUUCAAUAUAUAACUUAGUGAGGUGAACUGCUGUUGUGACAUAUGAGAUAGCUUUUCAA